rnacentral:rRNA from 1 species
UCUCUGAUGUUAGCGGCGGACGGGUGAGUAACACGUGGAUAACCUACCUAUAAGACUGGGAUAACUUCGGGAAACCGGAGCUAAUACCGGAUAAUAUUUUGAACCGCAUGGUUCAAAAGUGAAAGACGGUCUUGCUGUCACUUAUAGAUGGAUCCGCGCUGCAUUAGCUAGUUGGUAAGGUAACGGCUUACCAAGGCAACGAUGCAUAGCCGACCUGAGAGGGUGAUCGGCCACACUGGAACUGAGACACGGUCCAGACUCCUACGGGAGGCAGCAGUAGGGAAUCUUCCGCAAUGGGCGAAAGCCUGACGGAGCAACGCCGCGUGAGUGAUGAAGGUCUUCGGAUCGUAAAACUCUGUUAUUAGGGAAGAACAUAUGUGUAAGUAACUGUGCACAUCUUGACGGUACCUAAUCAGAAAGCCACGGCUAACUACGUGCCAGCAGCCGCGGUAAUACGUAGGUGGCAAGCGUUAUCCGGAAUUAUUGGGCGUAAAGCGCGCGUAGGCGGUUUUUUAAGUCUGAUGUGAAAGCCCACGGCUCAACCGUGGAGGGUCAUUGGAAACUGGAAAACUUGAGUGCAGAAGAGGAAAGUGGAAUUCCAUGUGUAGCGGUGAAAUGCGCAGAGAUAUGGAGGAACACCAGUGGCGAAGGCGACUUUCUGGUCUGUAACUGACGCUGAUGUGCGAAAGCGUGGGGAUCAAACAGGAUUAGAUACCCUGGUAGUCCACGCCGUAAACGAUGAGUGCUAAGUGUUAGGGGGUUUCCGCCCCUUAGUGCUGCAGCUAACGCAUUAAGCACUCCGCCUGGGGAGUACGACCGCAAGGUUGAAACUCAAAGGAAUUGACGGGGACCCGCACAAGCGGUGGAGCAUGUGGUUUAAUUCGAAGCAACGCGAAGAACCUUACCAAAUCUUGACAUCCUUUGACAACUCUAGAGAUAGAGCCUUCCCCUUCGGGGGACAAAGUGACAGGUGGUGCAUGGUUGUCGUCAGCUCGUGUCGUGAGAUGUUGGGUUAAGUCCCGCAACGAGCGCAACCCUUAAGCUUAGUUGCCAUCAUUAAGUUGGGCACUCUAAGUUGACUGCCGGUGACAAACCGGAGGAAGGUGGGGAUGACGUCAAAUCAUCAUGCCCCUUAUGAUUUGGGCUACACACGUGCUACAAUGGACAAUACAAAGGGCAGCGAAACCGCGAGGUCAAGCAAAUCCCAUAAAGUUGUUCUCAGUUCGGAUUGUAGUCUGCAACUCGACUACAUGAAGCUGGAAUCGCUAGUAAUCGUAGAUCAGCAUGCUACGGUGAAUACGUUCCCGGGUCUUGUACACACCGCCCGUCACACCACGAGAGUUUGUAACACCCGAAGCCGGUGGAGUAACCUUUU